CAUAAUAUAACAUAAACUAAAUACCAUAAUAAAACAUAAACCAAAAUAUUCUAAAAUGAAAAACAUCACACUAAGGUACCGUUUGGUUCGGGUAUAAGAUAGAACUGCUAGUUCCAGGGAUAGGUAUAAAUAUUGGAACUAGCUAGAACUAGUGUAUUUUUGUGUUUGGUUGAGUAUUAGAUUUGUACCAGGUAUAAGAAAAAUAGUGUUUGGAUGUAUAAGAUAGAAUAAGAGGAAUAAAGUAUGAAAGGGAUUAAAAAUAGGUAACAAAAAUUAAUUAAAUAAAUAAUGAAUUACAAUAUUGUUAAAAAACAUUACUAAUUAUUUAAUGAAUAUUUUUUUGUCAACUUGCGCUCGUUAGAAUUAAAUUAUACUUCUCGAAAAAAUAAUUUUAAACUUUCAUACUGCAAUAAGAUUUAUAACAAACUAACCAAAUUAAUAACUAUAGUAAAAUAAAGAAACAUUCAAACCUUUUCAUACACAUGUUAUAUACAAUUUGUUACAAACACUGUCUUUCCACCUUUUACAUACAUUUCAAUCCAUAUUGCAAACAACAUAUUAAUAAUUUAUCCAGAAAAUACCAAGUAAUAUUUGCCUGCGAAUAUAGUCGAGAAAUACAAGUUCGCAAAUUUAAAUAUAAGAUCAUUCAAAAGUAACAUGUAUUAUAAUAUUUNUGAUAAAACUUUGAGAGCCAAAUUAUUAAGAUUAAAAGUUCAUAUUGUGGAAAUAUUAAAUUGUUAAAAAAAUACUAUUUAUAUAUUCUAAAAAUAAUGUGUAUUAUAGAGUCGGAUUAUAAUAUUUUUAAUAGUACCAAGUACUUUGGUGUUAUCAAAUUUUUUAUUGACUUUAAUUUUUUAAUUAUUUUUAUCUGUUAGAUCAUAGUCAUAAAAAAUUACUAUUAUCCUAACCGCACGUUUCUUUAUCGAAGGGCCAAAAAUCUAAUAGCACCAACUGUUUGGUGCUAUUAGAAGCAUUUCAAUCUAAUUCAUAUAUAACGCUUUCAUUCUAAGAUUUAAAAAUCUUUUGAGUUUUUAGGUUUUUUAAACAAAGUUGAUAAAAUAACGGCAAAUAAUGAGAGCCCUGAAUUACCGCUCAAAGUAACCAAUGAUUGAUUGGGUACCUUCUGGGGUACCCGUAGUAUCGCCCAAAGAAGGGCCAAUCCAACUUAAAAAAAAAAAAGAAUUUGAAACAGAGAUAACAAUAUAUCGCGCACCCAUGUGAGUGAGUAAGAUUGCGGCAUAGGAGGAGACGCACUUUCUUUUACCGCCCCAUCGGAUAUUUCAGAGCACACAUACAUCACUUUUAAAAAAACCCUUUAUUCACUAUUCAGUAUUCACCUUUCCCCUUCGCCAUGGCUCCCUCUCUCCCCUCCUUCUUCUUCAUCCUCCUCCUACGAACCCUAACAAUGGCGUACGCCGCCACCUCCCCCGACGACAUCGAAGCCCUAAGAUCCUUCGUGGCCGCGGUGGAGCCCGCCUCCGUCCCCGCGGGGUCGUGCCUCAGCACCUGGGACUUGGCCCGCGACCCCUGCGACUCCGCGUUCGGCCCCUUCUUCACCUGCGGCCUCCUCUGCUCCGACCCCUCCCCCGCAGCCCCCCUCCGCCGCGUCACCGCCGUCGCCCUCGCCGGCUCCGCCUACUCCGGCGACGCCGCCGCGGCGGUCGCGGCCCUCCUCUCCCUCCCCUUCCUCUCCUCCCUCGACCUCUCCGACAAGCCGCUUCUCCGGGCCCCUCCCCGCCUCCCCCGACCGCUCUACCGCUACCCCCUCGCCUCCUCCGCCUCUCACCUCAUCGCAACCCUCUCCGGCCCAUCCCCUCCUCCUCUUCCCCCUUGUCGCCUGCCUCGCCGCUUGCGGGAGCUCUACCUCCGACGGGAACCCUCCUUCGCGCCCGAUCCCCGCGAGCUCCAUCGCUCCCUCCGCGCCCUCGCUACCGACCUCGAUCUCCGAUCCAACAACCUCUCGGGCCGUCUAUCUCUCUCUCUGCCCCGUCCGGGGCUCCUCACUUGUCAGGCGAGCGACACUUCGAACGCGCUCUGGGCCCUUUCCGGCCCGGUGCGGCUCUCCCCGCGUCCGCUCCUCCCGCUCGCUCCGCGGCAACACGCCUCCGCGGCGGCUGACGGGCGCGUCCCUAGGGCGCUGCCCGCGUCAGUAUCGCGUGCUGGCCUGGCCGGGAAGCGCUGGAGGCGGCGCCCCGGCGCGGCGUUCGCGCCGACACCGCCUGGAGCAAGCUUGAACGCUGGCGUCCGAAACCGGGCUGGGGGGGUCGAGGUGAGGAGCCCGACGGGCGUGGUCGACGAGCCGGCUGUGGCGGUGGAGCUGGGCGGAAUACCGAACGGGGCGCGCUGCGGGCUUCUUUGGGAUGAUGCCGCGGCUGGCGGGCGGUGGUGCUGGAGGGGAACCGUUCGCGGGUCAUCCCGCCGGCAGUACGCGCUGCGGUGCGGGCCUCUGGUCUGCGGGACAUGGGCCCGUUCGGCAGCGGCGAUGCUGGCGGGAAAUACGCUGAUUGGGACCGAUACCGAGCCCGAAUGGAGGGGUGAAGGAUGGGAUGCCGAUGGGACGCUGGCGACAACUGGCAUCCUCCGCUGCCGCCCCGCAGUGUACUUCUUCUCUCCAGGGCCUGCCCUCAGAAGCCGCGCCGCCACGUGUUCAGCGCCUUCAACCCCGCCAACCCCCUCACUUAAACUAAACUUCACUUUAAUUUUUUGAUUUAUCGAUGAUGAUGAUGUGAUUAGAGUGUGCUGUAAAAGACAUAUCAUAAAUAUAUAUUAGAUAAUAUAGGGAAAAAGAAAAUGUAGGAAAAGAAAGGACUUGCAGGGCACGGUGUGUAAAACAAAAAAAAUAACGAUCCGCUGAAUGUUGCGAAGAAUGGUACGGACUGUAAAGAGUUUUUUUUUUAAAAAAAUUAAUGUAAUAAAUUAAUUGUGUUUUUAAGGAUAUCGGAGCUUGAACUUGGGAAAGAAGAAGAGCUCAGUGGAAGGAAAGUACUUAAUUAGGCGAUAUCAGCAUUCCCUAGGUACCGUUUGGUUCGGGUAUAAGAUAGAACUGCUAGUUCCAGGGAUAGGUAUAAAUGUUGGAACUAGCUAGAACUAGUGUAUUUUUGUGUUUGGUUGAGUAUUAGAUUUGUACCAGGUAUAAGAAAAAUAGUGUUUGGAUGUAUAAGAUAGAAUAAGAGGAAUAAAGUAUGAAAGGAAUUAAAAAUAGGUAACAAAAAUUAAUUAAAUAAAUAAUGAAUUACAAUAUUGUUAAAAAACAUUACUAAUUAUUUAAUGAAUAUUUUUUUGUCAACUUGCGCUCGUUAGAAUUAAAUUAUACUUCUCGAAAAAAUAAAUUUAAACUUUUAUACUGCAAUAAGAUUUAUAACAAACUUACCAAAUUAAUAACUAUAGUAAAAUAAAGAAACAUUCAAACCUUUUCAUACACAUGUUAUAUACCAUUUGUUACAAACACUGUCUUUCCACCUUUUACAUACAUUUCAAUCCAUAUUGCAUACAACAUAUUAAUAAUCAUAUAAGAAUAUUUCUAACCAUCUUAUUAAAUAUUUAACACAAUAUAGACUAUGCUACAAACUUUACGAAACAUUGACGAUAAAACAAUACAAAAGACAAACCAUCCGUUAGCAUACAUUACAAAAGCGUAGCAGACAUUAAUAAGUAU
rnacentral:lncRNA from 1 species